UUUUCAGCAUAGGUAUGUCCCAUGCAAUAUUCAUUAUAUACUUAUGCUAAAA
rfam:Pan troglodytes isolate Yerkes chimp pedigree #C0471 (Clint) chromosome 20, whole genome shotgun sequence.